CGGGAAGAGCUCAAAUUUAAAAUCUGGCAGUGUAUUCUGUCCGAGUUGUAGUCUAGAGAAGCAUCAUCCGUGCUGGACCAUGUACAAGUCUCUUGGAACAGAGCGUCAUAGAGGGUGAGAAUCCCGU
rnacentral:rRNA from 1 species